UACAGAGGUCUCAAGCGUUGUUCGGAUUCAUUGGGCGUAAAGGGUGCGUAGGUGGCGCUGUAAGUCGGGUGUGAAAUUUCGGAGCUUAACUCCGAAACUGCAUUCGAUACUGCGGUGCUUGAGGACUGGAGAGGAGACUGGAAUUCAAGGUGUAGCAGUGAAAUGCGUAGAGAUCAUGAGGAAGACCAGUGGCGAAGGCGGGUCUCUGGACAGUUCCUGACACUGAGGCACGAAGGCCAGGGGAGCAAACGGG
rnacentral:rRNA from 1 species